rnacentral:rRNA from 1 species
UGGCGGACGGGUGAGUAAUGUCUGGGAAACUGCCCGACGGAGGGGGAUAACUACUGGAAACGGUAGCUAAUACCGCAUAACGUCGCAAGACCAAAGAGGGGGACCUUCGGGCCUCUUGCCAUCGGAUGUGCCCAGAUGGGAUUAGCUAGUAGGUGGGGUAACGGCUCACCUAGGCGACGAUCCCUAGCUGGUCUGAGAGGAUGACCAGCCACACUGGAACUGAGACACGGUCCAG